rnacentral:rRNA from 1 species
GGCGAACGCUGGCGGCGUGCUUAACACAUGCAAGUCGAACGGAAAGGCCCUGCUUUUGUGGGGUGCUCGAGUGGCGAACGGGUGAGUAACACGUGAGUAACCUGCCCUUGACUUUGGGAUAACUUCAGGAAACUGGGGCUAAUACCGGAUAGGAGCUCCUGCUGCAUGGUGGGGGUUGGAAAGUUUCGGCGGUUGGGGAUGGACUCGCGGCUUAUCAGCUUGUUGGUGGGGUAGUGGCUUACCAAGGCUUUGACGGGUAGCCGGCCUGAGAGGGUGACCGGCCACAUUGGGACUGAGAUACGGCCCAGACUCCUACGGGAGGCAGCAGUGGGGAAUAUUGCACAAUGGGCGGAAGCCUGAUGCAGCAACGCCGCGUGCGGGAUGACGGCCUUCGGGUUGUAAACCGCUUUCGCCUGUGACGAAGCGUGAGUGACGGUAAUGGGUAAAGAAGCACCGGCUAACUACG